GGCGGGAGAGGUCUGAGGUACUACAGGGGUAGGAGUGAAAUCUUAUAAUCCUUGUAGGACCACCAGUGGCGAAGGCGUCAGACUGGAACGCGCCUGACGGUGAGGGACGAAAGCCAGGGGAGCGAACCGGAUUAGAUACCCGGGUAGUCCUGGCCGUAAACGAUGCACACUAGAUGAUGGUGCGGCCAUGAGCCGUAUCAGUGUCGUAGGGAAACCGUUAAGUGUGCCGCCUGGGAAGUACGGUCGCAAGGCUUAAACUUAAAGGAAUUGGCGGGGGAGCACCACAAGGGGUGAAGCCUGCGGUUCAAUUGGACUCAACGCCGGGCAACUUACCAGGGGAGACAGCAGAAUGAAGGUCAGGUUGACGACCUUACCUAACAAGCUGAGAGGAGGUGCAUGGCCGUCGCCAGUUCGUGCUGUGAGGUAUCCUGUUAAGUCAGGCAACGAACGAGACCCGUGCCUUUAUUUGCCAUCAAGAAGUCACGACUUCGUUGGGAACGAUAAAGGGACUGCCGUCGAUAAGACGGAGGAAGGAGCGGGCAAAGGCAGGUCAGUAUGCCCCGAAACCCCUGGGCUACGCGCGGGCUGCAAUGGUGCGAACAAUGGGCUGUGACUCCGACAGGAGAAACCAAUCCCGAAAUCGCAUCUCAGUUGGGAUUGUCAACUGUAACCCGUUGACAUGAACGUGGAAUCCCUAGUAAUCGCGUGUCACCAUCGCGCGGUGAUACGUCUCUGCUCC
rnacentral:rRNA from 1 species